rnacentral:rRNA from 1 species
GGUCUCGUUAGGUGAACCUGCGGAGGGAUCAUUACACAAAUAUGAAGGCGGGCUGGAACCUCUCGGGGUUACAGCCUUGCUGAAUUAUUCACCCUUGUCUUUUGCGUACUUCUUGUUUCCUUGGUGGGUUCGCCCACCACUAGGACAAACAUAAACCUUUUGUAAUUGCAAUCAGCGUCAGUAACAAAUUAAUAAUUACAACUUUCAACAACGGAUCUCUUGGUUCUGGCAUCGAUGAAGAACGCAGCGAAAUGCGAUAAGUAGUGUGAAUUGCAGAAUUCAGUGAAUCAUCGAAUCUUUGAACGCACAUUGCGCCCUUUGGUAUUCCAAAGGGCAUGCCUGUUCGAGCGUCAUUUGUACCCUCAAGCUUUGCUUGGUGUUGGGCGUCUUGUCUCUAGCUUUGCUGGAGACUCGCCUUAAAGUAAUUGGCAGCCGGCCUACUGGUUUCGGAGCGCAGCACAAGUCGCACUCUCUAUCAGCAAAGGUCUAGCAUCCAUUAAGCCUUUUUUUCAACUUUUGACCUCGGAUCAGGUAGGGAUACCCGCUGAACUUAAGCAU